rnacentral:rRNA from 1 species
GACGAACGCUGGCGGCGUGCCUAAUACAUGCAAGUAGAACGCUGAAGAGAGGAGCUUGCUCUUCUUGGAUGAGUUGCGAACGGGUGAGUAACGCGUAGGUAACCUGCCUGGUAGCGGGGGAUAACUAUUGGAAACGAUAGCUAAUACCGCAUAAAAUUGAUUAUUGCAUGAUAAUUAAUUGAAAGAUGCAACUGCAUCACUACUAGAUGGACCUGCGUUGUAUUAGCUAGUUGGUGAGGUAACGGCUCACCACGGCGACGAUACAUAGCCGACCUGAGAGGGUGCUCGGCCACACUGGGACUGAGACACGGCCCAGACUCCUACGGGAGGCAGCAGUAGGGAAUCUUCGGCAAUGGGGGGAACCCUGACCGAGCAACGCCGCGUGAGUGAAGAAGGUUUUCGGAUCGUAAAGCUCUGUUGUAAGAGAAGAACGGGUGUGAGAGUGGAAAGUUCACACUGUGACGGUAUCUUACCAGAAAGGGACGGCUAACUACGUG